rnacentral:rRNA from 1 species
GCACUUAAAGAUGGGCGUACGGCUGAUUAGGUAGUUGGCGGGGUAACGGCCCACCAAGCCUGCGAUCAGUAGCUGAUGUGAGAGCAUGAUCAGCCACACGGGCACUGAGACACGGGCCCG